rnacentral:rRNA from 1 species
GGAGGAAAAGAAACCAACAGGGAUUGCCUCAGUAACGGCGAGUGAAGCGGCAAGAGCUCAACUUUGGAAUCGCUCCGGCGAGUUGUAGUCUGGAGGUGGCCACCACGAGGUGUUCUAGCAGCAGGCAAGUCCUUUGGAACAAGGCGCCAGCGAGGGUGACAGCCCCGUACCUGCUUUUGCUAGUGCUUCCUGUGGCCCACCGACGAGUCGAGUUGUUUGGGAAUGCAGCUCUAAGUGGGUGGUAAAUUCCAUCUAAGGCUAAAUAUUGGCGAGAGACCGAUAGCGAACAAGUACAGUGAUGGAAAGAUGAAAAGCACUUUGAAAAGAGAGUGAAACAGUACGUGAAAUUGUUGAAAGGGAAGGGCUUGCACCCAGACACGGUUUCGGCCGGGCCAGCAUCAAGUAGAACGGGGUUAAAAGACUUGGGGAAUGUAGCUACUUCGGUAGUGUUAUAGCCCUUGGUGAUGACCCCUGUUUUGCUUGAGGACAGCGGUCUCUAGGAUGCUGGCGCAAUGGUUGCAAGCCACCCGUCUUGAA